rnacentral:SRP_RNA from 1 species
GCCGAGCGUGGUGGCGCCUGUCUGUAGUCCCAGCUCUUCGGGAGGCUGAGGUGGGAGGAUCGCUUGAGCCCAGGAGUUUUGGGCUGUAGUGCGCUAUGCCGAUUGGGUGUCCGCACUAAGUUCGGCAUCAAUAUGGUGACCUCCCGGGAGCAGAGGACCACCAGGUUGCCUAAGGAGGGGUGAACCGGCCCAGGUUGGAAACGGAGCAGGUCAAAACUCCUGUGCUGAUCAGUAGUGGGAUCGAUCUUGUGAAUAGCCACUGCACUCCAGCCUGGGCAACAAGAGCAAAACUCUGUCUCA